rnacentral:rRNA from 1 species
ACGGGUGAGUAACGCGUGGGUAAUCUACCUUUGUCUGGGGGAUAACCUACCGAAAGGUGGGCUAAUACCGCAUAACGUGAUCGGAUUGCGAUUUGAUCACUAAAGAAGGCCUCUCCCUGGAAGCUUUCGGGUAAAGAUGAGCCCGCGUCCCAUUAGCUAGUUGGUAAGGUAAAGGCUUACCAAGGCGACGAUGGGUAGCUGGUCUGAGAGGAUGGCCAGCCACACUGGAACUGGAACACGGUCCAGACUCCUACGGGAGGCAGCAGUGAGGAAUCUUGCGCAAUGGGGGCAACCCUGACGCAGCAACGCCGCGUGAGUGAAGAAGGCCUUCGGGUCGUAAAGCUCUGUCAAGUGGGAAGAAUAGCCUGAAGACGAAUAAUCUUUGGGUAUGACGGUACCACUGGAGGAAGCACCGGCUAACUCCGUGCCAGCAGCCGCGGUAAUACGGAGGGUGCAAGCGUUAUUCGGAAUUAUUGGGCGUAAAGGGCGUGUAGGCGGCCAGAUAAGUCAGAUGUGAAAGCCCAGGGCUCAACCCUGGAAGUGCAUUUGAAACUAUUUGGCUUGAGUGCGGGAGAGGAAAGC